rnacentral:rRNA from 1 species
UGGGGAAUAUUGGACAAUGGGCGAAAGCCUGAUCCAGCCAUGCCGCGUGUGUGAAGAAGGUCUUCGGAUUGUAAAGCACUUUAAGUUGGGAGGAAGGGCAGUAAGCGAAUACCUUGCUGUUUUGACGUUACCGACAGAAUAAGCACCGGCUAACUCUGUGCCAGCAGCCGCGGUAAUACAGAGGGUGCAAGCGUUAAUCGGAAUUACUGGGCGUAAAGCGCGCGUAGGUGGUUCGUUAAGUUGAAUGUGAAAGCCCCGGGCUCAACCUGGGAACUGCAUCCAAAACAGGCGAGCUAGAGUAGGGAAGAGGGUGGUGGAAUUUCCUGUGUAGCGGUGAAAUGCGUAGAUAUAGGAAGGAACACCAGUGGCGAAGGCGACCACCUGGGCUCAUACUGACACUGAGGUGCGAAAGCGUGGGGAGCAAACAGG